rnacentral:rRNA from 1 species
UACGUAGGGGGCAAGCGUUGUUCGGAUUUAUUGGGCGUAAAGGGUCCGUAGGCGGUUCGGAAAGUCAGAUGUGAAAUCCUACAGCUCAACUGUAGAACUGCAUUUGAAACUUCCGGACUAGAGUAUGAGAGGGGUUAAGGGAAUUCCCGGUGUAAGGGUGAAAUCUGCAGAGAUCGGGAGGAACACCAGUCGCGAAGGCGCUUAACUGGCUCAUUACUGACGCUCAGGGACGAAAGCUAGGGGAGCAAACGGG